AGGACGAACGCUGGCGGCGUGCUUAACACAUGCAAGUCGAGCGGUAAGGCCUUUCGGGGUACACGAGCGGCGAACGGGUGAGUAACACGUGGGUGAUCUGCCCUGCACUCUGGGAUAAGCCUGGGAAACUGGGUCUAAUACCGGAUAUGACCUGCUCUCGCAUGGGGGUGGGUGGAAAGAUUUAUCGGUGCAGGAUGGGCCCGCGGCCUAUCAGCUUGGUUGGUGGGGUAAUGGCCUACCAAGGCGACGACGGGUAGCCGACCUGAGAGGGUGACCGGCCACACUGGGACUGAGACACGGCCCAGACUCCUACGGGAGGCAGCAGUGGGAAUAUGCACAAUGGGCGAAAGCCUGAUGCAGCGACGCCGCGUGAGGAUGAAGGCCUUGGGUUGUAAACCUCUUUCAGCAGGACGAAGCGCAAGUGACGGUACCUGACAGAAGAAGCACGGCUAACACGUGCCAGCAGCCGC
rnacentral:rRNA from 1 species